rnacentral:rRNA from 1 species
UAGCUCACUGGUCGAGUGAUCCUGCGCCGAAAAUUUCCGGGGCUAAAACGUACUACCGAAGCUACGGCAUCAAUUAUGAUGGGUAGGGGAGCUUCGUAUGCAGGCUGAAGCAUGACCGUAAGGACAUGUGGACAGUAUACGAGUGAGAAUGUUGGCAUGAGUAGCGAGACGUGGGUGAGAAUCCCACGGGCCGUAAACCCAAGGUUUCCAGGGGAAGGUUCGUCCGCCCUGGGUAAGUCGGGACCUAACGUGAGGCCGAAAGGCGCAGCGGAUGGAAAGCAGGCGGAGAUUCCUGCACCCGUAUAUGGAGCGAAGGAGUGACGGAGAAGGCAGAUGCGACCCUCUUACUGGAUUGAGGGCCAAGCGAAGCAGGUGGUAUCCAGGCAAAUCCGGAUACGGAAACCAGAGCGUGACGGGUAAGCGAAAGCGGAAAGCGAGUAGCGAAGCGCAUCGAGUCAGCUUCCAGGAAAAGCUUCUAGUGAAAAUGCAUAUACGGCCCGUACCAAAACCGACACAGGUGGGCGCGCAGAGGAUGCGAAGGUGAGCGAGAGAACUGUUGCCAAGGAACUCGGCAAAAUGGCCCCGUACGUUCGCAAGAAGGGGCGCUCGAAAGAGCCGCAGUGAAAAGGCCCAAGCGACUGUUUAACUAAAACACAGCUCCCUGCGAAGCCGCAAGGCGAAGUAUAGGGGGUGACACCUGCCCGGUGCUGGAAGGUUAAGGCAAGCUGUCAACCGCGAGGUGAAGCAGUGACCCGAAGCCCCAGUGAACGGCGGCCGUAACUAUAACGGUCCUAAGGUAGCGAAAUUCCUUGUCAGGUAAGUUCUGACCCGCACGAAAGGUGUAACGAUUUGGGCGCUGUCUCGGCAGCAGACUCGGUGAAAUCUUAGUACCUGUGAAAAUGCAGGUUACCCGCAACUAGACGGAAAGACCCCAUGGAGCUUUACUGCAGCCUGGUAUUGGGUCCUGGACAGCCAUGUACAGGAUAGGUGGGAGACUUGGAAGCGAGUACGCAAGUAUUGGUGGAGUCGCCGGUGGGAUACCACUCCUGGAUGUAUGGGGCCCUAACCCGUGUGCCGAGAGGGACAGGGGAGAGUGCCAGGCGGGCAGUUUGACUGGGGCGGUCGCCUCCCAAAGAGUAACGGAGGCGCCCAAAGGUACGCUCAGGUUGGAUGGGAACCAACUGAAGAGUGCAAAUGCAGAAGCGUGCCUGACUGCGACAGAGACAACUGGAGCAGGGACGAAAGUCGGGAUUAGUGAUCCGGCGGUGCCGAAUGGAAGGGCCGUCGCUCAACGGAUAAAAGCUACCCUGGGGAUAACAGGCUGAUCUCGCCCAAGAGUUCACAUCGACGGCGAGGUUUGGCACCUCGAUGUCGGCUCAUCGCAUCCUGGAGCUGGAUUCGGUUCCAAGGGUUGGGCUGUCCGCCCAUUAAAGCGGUACGCGAGCUGGGUUCAGAACGUCGUGAGACAGUUCGGUCCCUAUCUGUCGUGGGCGCAGGAUAUUUGAGUGGAGCUGUCCCUAGUACGAGAGGACCGGGAUGGACGUACCUCUGGUGUACCAGUUGUCGUGCCAACGGCACAGCUGGGUAGCUAUGUACGGACGGGAUAAACGCUGAAGGCAUCUAAGCGUGAAGCCCCCCUCAAGAUGAGAUAUCCCAUCGCAAGAGUAAGACCCCUUGA